rnacentral:rRNA from 1 species
UGCAACCGUAGCACAACCAUCUCGUUUUCUACCCUCGUUCGCGCGACGGCCGCGACGACCACCGCCGGCACGACGACGACUACCGGCGGCGGCGGUGCCGCUAGUGCCACCUCCUGAGCCGCGGCCUGUUGUAGGUCGGCGACAGCUGCGACUUGGACCGGCGGCGCGUCCAGCGGUACCUGGGGCCCAGCCGGUAGGUGCGGAGUGGGCUGCACGAGCCGUUCCUGCCCCUCCUAAGGCGCACCCACCGCCAGUUGAAGUGCUGCGGGAGCGGGAGGAGGCUGGUGACCUAACCGGAGAAGAGGGGCCGGCUAAAGUCGAGGCCGUAGCCCUCGCGGUCCCAUCGUCCCCUUCCUCUACGCGGGCGUCCCGACGGGCACCGAGGCUAGUUCAUGUUCGACCCGUUGACGCUCGGCCUAAAGGACGCGUGGCCGCCGCCGUUGUGGUCGAAGGAGGAGUAGUUGGUCGCGAGGCUGAUGCGGAAGCCGGAGAAGAGGCCGCCGUUCCUGUUCGGAUUCGAAGACCGCUAGAGCUUGUUCUAGAGGAAGCGCUUGGGGUUCCGGGGCCACAAGGGCGCGGACAGGGUCCCCUUCGUUACCUUGCUCUACCGCCAAUGCACCUGCUCGCCCAUGUUGUAGCCACUCCGCAUGGGCAAGCACCUCACCUCCUACUUCCCGCUCCUCUGGAGGUUCGCCUGCGGGCGGCCGUGCGAGUGGAAGUGCGCUCCGGUGGAGACGCCAUGCAUGUCAGGUCCCAAGUCUCAAGUCUCGUCAACGACGACAAUUAAGUCGCAACAGCUUUAAUAGCGUCCAUUAGGCCGGGCACCUGUCCCGAUGUCCCUAGGCCCAAUGUAGGUAUGGCGCAAGGAGUUCCUGGAGACCGGUUUGUCUCUCAUGAGUAUAGUCUAACCCGUGCUCGACGUCCUGCCCUGCCACCGCACCCCGUUCAGGCGGUGGAAGGCGCGCAGGGGGAUGGGCCCGGUCCGAAGCGAGGUCGCGUAGCAGUAGAAGCCGCUGUACCCUGAGCCCCGUUUCCUGCCCUCGUCGCUCGAGGUCCCUAAGGUCGGGCCCCGCGUCCACUGGUGGCUGGCCGACCAGUUCCUGGACGGGUUGAUGCUGCGGCACAAGGUGUAGCCGCUGGAGAGGAUGCGGUUGCCGAAGGAGCGCGUCACCCUGGUCAAGUGGCGCGUCUAGCUCGGGUAACGGAGGUUCGAGGGGAUGUACCAGCGGUCGCCGUUGGUGCUCGCCUGCAUGUACCUGUGGCCGCCCAAGAUGUUGCCGUUGCUGAGUGUGCCGCUCACGCCGCACGGCCGCCUCUGGAUGAAGAUGCACGGCCGCCGCCGCGUGGCACCGUUCAAGACCAUGCGGCGGCUGAUGCCGUACAAGGCGAAGACGCACCCGCUGUGCCUCGUGCUGACCGCCGGGCCCAGGCUCGUCGUGCGCAAGGAGCUGCGGACGAAGCGGCCGCGGCUGGCGUUCGUGGUCGGCACCGAGCAGAAGGACCGCGUGGCGGGCGAGCCGAUGAGGAGGUUGCUGAAGAUGCGCGUCCUCCCGAGGAAGCGCCUCGGGUACCCGGCGCGGGACGUCGGCGAGACCGUCGCGGUGGCGCAGCUGGAGCGGCAGAUGCCGGUGCAGGUGUUGAUGCUCGCCUGCACGGGACAGAUGCUCUUGUGCACGUGGCAGUUCCCGUUUCUAGCCGUCUCGUCGAUGCGCCCCCGCUGCCCUCCCUGGUAGGUGCAGCACCGGCCGUGCCCGCCGCGGUUCGACUCCUCGAUGCGGCCGCCGCGCACCGGCGUCACCUCGCACCGCUCCUUGCUCUCGAAGCCCAUGCAGUUCGAGUGACGAUCGCUGGUGCGCAGGUACGCCAAGCUCAAGUAGGUGUCGCUGCUGCCGCGGCACGUACUGCGGAAGUGGUAGUGGUCCCUGAUGUUCCUGUAGUACCGGACGCGGCAGCUGUCGACGCGCGGUGUGUGGGAUCGGUUGAUCUUGACGAUCAUAUCGAACGCCUUACGUCUUAACGUCAUAAUUUGAGGCACAUCUUUAAAGAAGGGAAAAAGAAUCUCAUCUUAAAUACGCACACAAGCAGAAUUAAAGAAACUCCGGCCGGGGAAGAGUAGGUAAGACGUUUGACCCUCUUGUUUACUGCUUUUUUUAUGUAGACACGGGUUUCUUG